AUUGGGUGGAGGCAUCCUGAGCAGCAUAGCUGGGUUAAGCAAACAGGUCUAAGUUUGGGGCGGCUGCAGGGGAACUGCGUGGGGUUUCAAGAGAAGGGAGUCUGCAGAACUGAAGCCUUCCUACUCCUGGAAAGCAGCAGCAGCAGCAAUGCGCGAUGAAAGCUUAAGGGUCUUUAUAAAGGUCUGAGCAAAGCCCAGAAAAGUAAAUUCCACUAGAGGCUGUACCUCAGAAGAGAGAAGCUACCACUUUGCAGGGCAAGAAAGGCUGGGCCUGAGAUCAAGGCUCCUUGGCUGAUGAAGAGUCGUGAGGAGUUGGUGGGAAGAGGAAACUGUACCAAGAAGAGCUUCCUCCACUCUCCCCUCUCCCCCAUCAACUUGGAGCUCACCAAGGCUGGGAGGGAAGUGGCUGAGAGCUCACUGGUACCCCCUCUGCCCCAGAGAGGGAGCCCACAGCUGUGGGAGGGGCUGCCACCACUGCUGCUGCCGCCGCUGCUGCUGCUGCCGCCGCUGCCGCCAUUGGACAAACCUCACCAGUACCUACAGUGAGAAACACCAAGGAUCACAGCACAAUCUAAAUGGCAAGAAACAUGCUCCAUACCCCAGACCUGUCAACUAUUUCCCUACGUCCCCUGGGACACAGCCGUUACUUCCUAUCUGGUCCCCAGAGGCUUUGGCCUGCUUGCUUACCCAGACAGAGCAUGUCCACAUUGCCCUCUCUGGAUCCCAAGUCUCCCUAAUCUGAGUGGCAGACUGGCAUCCCUGGCCUUCCUGAGAUCCCCUAUCGGGCCCUUUGAGUUCCCUUGUCCCACACAUCCCAUCCUGCCCCCCCCAGCCAUGUCCCACACCUUGCCUGGUGGGUGCAGGGGUCCCCCUCAGCAGGUAGGCUGUGGCUGGGGGGCAUCUCCCGGGAUAGGAGGGGCGGCCCCCCCCAGAUGGGUCUGCAUGUGGCCGGCCAGCUGGGCAGGGGUCUUGCAGUGCACGCUGCACAGCUUGCACAGGAUGCGGUCAGCCCGCGGGGCCUGGAGCCCAUGGUCCUUCACCGCGUGGAUGCGCAGGGUUCUUUCUCUACAUGCCACGAGCUCUUGGCUGCAGCUCCCUUGACCCACAUCGGUGAGACAAAAAACCCAACAGCUCUGUGCCCCCCCUGGCAUCCCUUAGCAUGUACCUUUGUUGCAGAGCUCACAGACAUGGUGAGGGCCCUGGCUGUGCACCUUCAUGUGGUCCGAAAUAUAAGCCGAGCUCAGCAUCUUGCCACACACAUGA